rnacentral:siRNA from 1 species
GCAUGGCCUUGUAAUUGUCAC